AGCAGUAGCCGCGGUAAUACGGAGGGGGCUAGCGUUGUUCGGAAUUACUGGGCGUAAAGCGCACGUAGGCGGCUUGGUAAGUUAGAGGUGAAAGCCUGGAGCUCAACUCCAGAAUUGCCUUUAAGACUGCCGAGCUAGCAGGUGAGAGAGGUAAGUGGAAUUCCGAGUGUAGAGGUGAAAUUCGUAGAUAUUCGGAAGAACACCAGUGGCGAAGGCGGCCCGCUGGACAUGUAUUGACGCUGAGGUGCGAAAGCGUGGGGAGCAAACAGGAUUAGAUACCCCGGUAGUCCCUGUCUCUUAUAC
rnacentral:rRNA from 1 species